rnacentral:rRNA from 1 species
GACGAACGCUGGCGGCGUGCCUAAUACAUGCAAGUUGAGCGCUGAAGGUUGGUACUUGUACCAACUGGAUGAGCAGCGAACGGGUGAGUAACGCGUGGGGAAUCUGCCUUUGAGCGGGGGACAACAUUUGGAAACGAAUGCUAAUACCGCAUAAAAACUUUAAACACAAGUUUUAAGUUUGAAAGAUGCAAUUGCAUCACUCAAAGAUGAUCCCGCGUUGUAUUAGCUAAUUGGUGAGGUAAAGGCUCACCAAGGCGAUGAUACAUAGCCGACCUGAGAGGGUGAUCGGCCACAUUGGGACUGAGACACGGCCCAAACUCCUACGGGAGGCAGCAGUAGGGAAUCUUCGGCAAUAGACGAAAGUCUGACCGAGCAACGCCGCGUGAGUGAAGAAGGUUUUCGGAUCGUAAAACUCUGUUGGUAGAGAAGAACGUUGGUGAGAGUGGAAAGCUCAUCAAGUGACGGUAACUACCCAGAAAGGGACGGCUAACUACGUG